rnacentral:misc_RNA from 1 species
GAAAUGCGGUAAGUAAUGUGAAUUGCAGAAUUCAGUGAAUCAUCGAAUCUUUGAACGCACCUUGCGCUCCUUGGUAUUCCUUGGAGCAUGCCUGUUUGAGUAUCAUGAAAUCUUCAAAGUAAAUCUUUUGUUAACUCAAUUGGUUUCUACUUUGGUAUUGGAGGUCUUUGCAGCUUCACACCUGCUCCUCUUUGUUCAUUAGCUGGAUCUCAGUGUUAUGCUUGGUUCCACUCGGCGUGAUAAGUUAUCUAUCGCUGAGGACACUGUAAAAGGUGGCCAAGGUAAAUGCAGAUGAACCGCUUCUAAUAGUCCAUUGACUUGGACAAUACUUUUAUGAUCUGAUCUCAAAUCAGGUAGGACUACCCGCUGAACUUAAGC